rnacentral:rRNA from 1 species
CACGCCCUAAACGAUGUAUACCGGUUGUUGCUGUGCUAGUCACGGCAGUAAUCCACCUAACGGAUUAAGUAUACCGCCUGGGGAGUACGGUCGCAAGAUUAAAACUCAAAGGAAUAGACG